rfam:Desulfotalea psychrophila LSv54 chromosome
GGAUAAGCUAAUAAGGGCUAACGGCGGAUGCCUUGGCAUCAGGAGGCGAUGAAGGACGUGGUAAGCUGCGAUAAGCUUCGGGGAGUUGUUAACAUACUUUGAUCCGGAGAUUUCCGAAUGGGGAAACCCGGCAGGAUUUAUAUUCUGUCACCUCACACUGAAUACAUAGGUGUAGAGGAGCGAACGUGGGGAAUUGAAACAUCUAAGUACCUGCAGGAAAAGAAAUCAAUUGAGAUUCCGUGAGUAGCGGCGAGCGAAACCGGAACAGCCCGAAUUAGCGAUGUGGAUUCAAUAAUGUAUAGUGGAGAGGUAUGGAAAGGCCUACCAUAGACGGUGAUAGUCCGGUACACGAAAUGCAUUAUGACCUAGCUAGAAAGAGUACCACGGGACACGUGAAACCCUGUGGGAAUAUGGGAGGACCAUCUUCCAAGGCUAAAUACUACCUGAUGACCGAUAGUGAACUAGUACCGUGAGGGAAAGGUGAAAAGAACCCCGGGAGGGGAGUGAAAUAGAAACUGAAACCGUUAGCUUACAAGCAGUAGGAGCCCUAUGUCUUCGGACAGGGUGACUGCGUGCCUUUUGCAUAAUGAGUCAACGACUUACCGUGUGCAGCGAGGUUAAGCCGAGAGGUGCAGCCGAAGCGAAAGCGAGUCUUAAUAGGGCGCUUAGUUGUAUGCGGUAGACCCGAAGCCGGGUGAUCUAUCCAUGACCAGGGUGAAGUCUCGGUAACACGAGAUGGAGGCCCGAACCGAUAUAGGUUGAAAACUGUUCGGAUGAGUUGUGGAUCGGAGUGAAAGGCUAAUCAAACUCGGUGAUAGCUGGUUUUCUCCGAAAUAUAUUUAGGUAUAGCCUCACAUGAUGACUAACGGAGGUAGAGCACUGACAAGACUAGGGGGCCCACCGGCUUACCAACUCUUAUCAAACUCCGAAUGCCGUUAAGUUCAAAUGUGGGAGUCAGACUACGGGAGAUAAGUUCCGUGGUCGAGAGGGAAAGAGCCCAGACCGUCAGCUAAGGUCCCUAAACUACGCUAAGUGGGAAAGGAUGUGGAAUUGUACAUACAACCAGGAGGUUGGCUUAGAAGCAGCAACCCUUUAAAGAAAGCGUAAUAGCUCACUGGUCUAAUGAUACCGCGCCGAAAAUUUAACGGGGCUAAGCGUAGUACCGAAGCUACGGAUUGAAAUUUAUUUCGAUGGUAGGAGAACAUUGUGGCCGCCUGAGAAGGUACACCGGAAGGAGUGCUGGAGGUUCCACAAGAGCUUAUGUUGACACGAGUAGCGAAAAUGAGGGCGAGAAACCCUCACGCCGAAAGCCUAAGGUUUCCUGUAGUCAAGUUAAUCUGCUCAGGGUUAGUCGGUCCCUAAGGCGAGGCCGAGAGGCGUAGUCGAUGGGAAAUAGGUUAAUAUUCCUAUACCAGUAUCAUAAUGUUAUGGUAAGGGGGGACGGAGAAGGUAAGACCAUCCGGGCGCUGGUUGUCCCGGUUUAAGCAUGUAGGCGGAGGACUUUGGCAAAUCCGGGUCCUUGUUAACGUUGAGGUGUGAUGACGAUGCCCUUUGGGCAAUAAAGUGGUUGGUUCCAUGCUUCCAGGAAAAGCCUCGUAUCUAGUUAUGAUAUUGACCGUACCGUAAACCGACACAGGUAGGCAGGUAGAGAAUACCAAGGCGCUUGAGAGAACUCUGGUUAAGGAACUCGGCAAAAUAGCACCGUAACUUCGGGAGAAGGUGUGCCUGCGUGGUGAAAGUUAUUUACUAACUUGAGCCUAGUCAGGUUGCAGUGAAAUGGGGGGAGCGACUGUUUACUAAAAACACAGGACUCUGCGAAGUCGAAAGACGAAGUAUAGGGUCUGACGCCUGCCCGGUGCCGGAAGGUUAAGGGGACUUGUUAGCGUAAGCGAAGCAAUGAACCGAAGCCCCGGUAAACGGCGGCCGUAACUAUAACGGUCCUAAGGUAGCGAAAUUCCUUGUCGGGUAAGUUCCGACCUGCACGAAUGGCGUAACGAUUUCCCCACUGUCUCAACCAGAGACUCAGCGAAACUGUAGUACCGGUGAAGAUGCCGGUUACCCGCAACAAGACAGAAAGACCCCGUGAACCUUUACUAUAGCUUGGCAUUGGUUUUAGAGGUAACAUGUGUAGGAUAGGUGGGAGGCUUUGAAGCAUGCACGCUAGUGUGUGUGGAGCUAACCUUGAAAUACCACCCUUGUUAUCUUUGAAAUCUAACCGCGAUCCGUUACCCGGAUCCGGGACAUUGUCUGGUGGGUAGUUUGACUGGGGCGGUCGCCUCCUAAAGAGUAACGGAGGCGCGCGAUGGUUCCCUCAGGCUGAUUGGAAACCAGCCGUAGAGUGUAAAGGCAUAAGGGAGCUUGACUGCGAGACAGACAUGUCGAGCAGGUACGAAAGUAGGUCUUAGUGAUCCGGCGAUUCCGCAUGGAAGGGUCGUCGCUCAACGGAUAAAAGGUACUCCGGGGAUAACAGGCUUAUCUCCCCCAAGAGUCCAUAUCGACGGGGAGGUUUGGCACCUCGAUGUCGGCUCAUCACAUCCUGGGGCUGAAGCAGGUCCCAAGGGUUUGGCUGUUCGCCAAUUAAAGUGGUACGCGAGCUGGGUUUAAAACGUCGUGAGACAGUUUGGUCCUUAUCUGUUGCGGGCGCAGGAAAUUUGAGGAGAUCUUCCCCUAGUACGAGAGGACCGGGGUGGACGAACCUAUGGUGUACCAGUUGUUCCGCCAGGAGCAUCGCUGGGUAGCUAAGUUCGGAAGGGAUAACCGCUGAAAGCAUCUAAGCGGGAAGCCUACUCCAAGAUUAGAUUUCCCAUGAUUUAAAAUCAUCUGAAGGCUCGUUGUAGACCACAACGUUGAUAGGUCGGGUGUGGAAGAGUGGUAACACUUGGAGCUAACCGAUACUAAUAAGCCGUGCGGCUUAUCCAU